rnacentral:lncRNA from 1 species
GAUGAAUUCUGCUAAGUAAAAUCAGCAUCCAUGCUAUACUUAUACUGAUGUUACAGUUCUUGUAUUUUAUAAUCAAACUUUUCUUUUUUUCCCAAGAAAACUUUAAAACCAAACAUUAUCUUGGUUUGUAGCCAAGCAUGUUUAAGCAUAGCUUGCUUUGUGUUGGGCUGUUUUUUCGUUCAGAAAGAACAGGUAGUGGCUUGGCAGUGUGACAAAUGUGGCUUUAUGUCUGACAAUUGCUGUUAAAACAUGUUAUCAUCAUAUGAUAUGAUUAUGCGCAAGGUUAACAGUCUGUCACUUCACAUUCAUGGGGGGGAAAAGAGUGGAUUAAAUUUAAAAAAAAAAACAGGGAGGGGGGGUGUUGAAAAUUAAACCCUUUAACAUUGUGAUCCUUUAAACAUUAUGUGAGAGUUGUUAUUGUUUGCCUUCCAGUCAUCAGGAUAGCACCAGUGUAACUUUUGCACUGUGUGCUUUGUUUGAAAAAUGUGCAGCUUUGCUCAUGCUUGGCUGGGCUUCUUACUGCCAGCAGUGUGGGUAGCAGGUGCUUCCUGACCUUGGUGUCUGGGGGGAGGUUUGGUUGCUGUGGUUUAGAAAACUCUCAUAAAGAAAAGGUAGAAAAUUCAAAAUAAAUAAGUUAGCUGAAAAGGUGCACACUACAGGUGCGAAUUAACUGGAAAUGUAAUUUUGCUCCUCCUACAAUGACCAGAUUUCUCAAUCUGAAUCGAAUAUCUGCCAAAACUGAUGAGUUUAUUAGGGAUUUCAGGGUGACAGUUUCAGUACCUUAUACCAACACAUGUGUAUUGGAAGAGGACUGUAGAAAUGGUGAUGGUAGAUUCAGGUAUGUUUUUACUGUACUUUGUCUGUUUUUCCUAAACCAGAAUGACUUUCCUUAUUAACAUUAAAUCCUAUAUAUUUGUUUCACUCUAAAAUAGGAUAUACUAAAUUAUUUCUAAUGUUGUGUUUUGAAAUAAUCUGAAUUUUAAUGGUGUGCACUGAAAUAAUGAACAUGCAUAGG